GGGUCAGUAGGUUGGUCGUGCCACCGGUACGUACUGGUCUCACUGAUUCCUCCUUCCUGAAGAACCGUAAUGCCAUUAAUUUGGUGUUGCGGGGAAACAGGACUGUUACUUUGGAAAAAUUAGAGUGUUUAAAGCAAGCUAACGCUUGAAUAUAUUAGCAUGGAAUAAUGAAAUAGGACGAUCGAUCCUAUUUUGUUGGUUUCUAGGAUUGACGUA
rnacentral:rRNA from 1 species